GAACCGUCCAAACGUUAUUCGGAAUCACUGGGCUUGAAGGGUGCGUAGGCGGUGUCGUAAGUUGGGGUGUGAAAUCCCUCGGGCUCAACCGAGGAACUGCGCCCAAUACUGCGGUACUAGAGGGAGAUAGGGGUAAGCGGAACUGAUGGUGGAGCGGUGAAAUGCGUUGAUAUCAUCAGGAACACCGGUGGCGAAAGCGGCUUACUGGAUCUCUUCUGACGCUGAGGCACGAAAGCCAGGGGAGCGAACGGGAUUAGAUACCCCGGUAGUCCUGGCUGUAAACGAUGAGCACUUGGUCGAAGACUCCUCCAUAGGUUUUCGGCCGUAGCGAAAGUGUUAAGUGCUCCGCCUGGGGAGUAUGGUCGCAAAGGCUG
rnacentral:rRNA from 1 species